UGGGGAAUAUUGGACAAUGGGCGAAAGCCUGAUCCAGCCAUGCCGCGUGUGUGAAGAAGGUCUUCGGAUUGUAAAGCACUUUAAGUUGGGAGGAAGGGCAUUAACCUAAUACGUUAGUGUUUUGACGUUACCGACAGAAUAAGCACCGGCUAACUCUUUGCCAGCAGCCGCGGUAAUACAGAGGAUGCAAGCGUUAAUCGGAAUUACUGGGCGUAAAGCGCGCGUAGGUGGUUUGUUAAGUUGGAUGUGAAAUCCCCGGGCUCAACCUGGGAACUGCAUUCAAAACUGACUGACUAGAGUAUGGUAGAGGGUGGUGGAAUUUCCUGUGUAGCGGUGAAAUGCGUAGAUAUAGGAAGGAACACCAGUGGCGAAGGCGACCACCUGGACUAAUACUGACACUGAGGUGCGAAAGCGUGGGGAGCAAACA
rnacentral:rRNA from 1 species